rnacentral:rRNA from 1 species
UACGUAGGGUGCGAGCGUUGUCCGGAAUUAUUGGGCGUAAAGAGCUCGUAGGCGGUCUGUCGCGUCGAUCGUGAAAACUUGGGGCUUAACCCUGAGCUUGCGGUCGAUACGGGCAUGACUGGAGUUCGGCAGGGGAGACUGGAAUUCCUGGUGUAGCGGUGGAAUGCGCAGAUAUCAGGAGGAACACCAAUAGCGAAGGCAGCUCGCUGGGACGUUACUGACACUGAGGCGCGAAAGCGUGGGGAGCGAACAGG